CAUCAAGUGGCUUGGAGCAAUGGCUCAGCCAGGAAAUCGCUUGCCUUGCAAACAUGGGGACAGGAGAUCAAUCCCUCAGAACUCACAUAAGGAGAAUCCUGGUAUAGCAACAUGCUCUUGCAAUCACCAUGCUGGGAGGCAGAGGCUGGUGAGUCUGUGGGGCUCAUGGGCCAGCCAUGGUCAUCUACCUGGUGAUGGAAUUAUGAAUGUGUGUCACCAGGUCCAGUUUAUGUGACGCUGGAGAUCAAGCCCAGAGUUGUAAAUAUCAUCAGAGAGAAAUCUCCUGGAUAAGAGAGUCCUCUACAGACACACCUUAAAGACAAUGGUGGGUGAGGAGCAGAGGUUGCAAAGGAAGAAGAAUAGAUUGGUUCCUGUAGAAGUCAAGGGGGCCAGAUGGAUCAGGAUGGUGUAUGCCUGGCAGUGGUCAAAAACUGCAGUCUG
rnacentral:lncRNA from 1 species